rnacentral:RNase_P_RNA from 1 species
AGGUAUUCGCUUAGUUCUUUGGAAUUUGAGAGGAAAGUCCGGACACCAUAGGGCAGGAUUCCCUGUGAAAACAGGGGCACUCCGUAUAAAACGGAGUGACGGAAAGUGUCACAGAGAACAAACCGCCCUGAACUUGUUGAGGGGUAAGGGUGAAAAGGUGGGGUAAGAGCCCACCGCGCUUACGAGUAAUCGUAGCGGCUCGAUAAACCCAAUCUGGUGCAAGACAAAAUAGGAGGUCAGGUUGCCCGCCUAACGACCUCGGGUAUGUCGCGCUCCCUUAGUGGAGAACAGUAUUCACUGUUAGAUAAAUGAAUACCCGCCAUUAUUGGCGACAGAAUCCGGCUUACAGA